AAGGGGUUCGAGUCACUCAGUUUUUCCCUGGAAAAAGACUUGAGCCAACCUCAGUUUUGUUUUCCAGCUCAGGCUGAAUGCCACUUCCUCUUAAGCCAUCCCUGCUGACAAGGAUCUUCAUCUCCACUGGGAGCCAUCACUGCCAUCAUCCAGACUGUCCUGCUAGAUCUGCAUCAAGAACCUGUGGGCUUCAUCCAUGUUGCAAACUUGAGAAGCCAGUCAAAAUUUGUCUUACUAAAUACCUGAACACAGCUCUUUUUACAAGGUAAACUAGUGUGAUUUUCUAAGGAAUCAUGAGUUUGCUUAGCACUACAGAUAUCAGCAGUACAGGCAUGUUUGUUCCUAGAAGUGAUCCUCACCAAAGAACCAUCCUCUGGUCUUCUUAAUACUCAAAACAAUACAUAUGA